CAGGGGUGGGGGGAGUCCCUCAGCCUGGAUUUCGGGAGGGCACACGCCAGGCCGAGGGACUCCACUGGUGCAUG
rnacentral:pre_miRNA from 1 species